rnacentral:lncRNA from 1 species
CACCUCAUCAGCAUCAACCGCCGUCACGGCACGGGGAGGGCGAACACAACUCCCCGCACCCGUCGUACAAGAGUACGGAUGCGCCACGACCCCCCUCACACCGCCGCCGCCGUUGCUACCGCCAGCAGAGCUGCUACAACCUAGCUCCGUUUCGCUGACGCGCGUCGCCCCGCCGCCGUACGUAUCGCUGACGUAACUCGUGGCGGCGCCUCCACCGCCGCCGCCGCCGGGGUACGAUUGUCUGCCAAAGAGGCUUGGCGGGGGUGUUGGAGAUCUGGACGGGCC